rnacentral:sRNA from 1 species
CCCUAGCCCCGAUAGAAGUGAAAAUCAUUUUGUGGCGGUGUUCGCCACAAAAUAUUGCAACGGAUAGCGGGAAUUAGC